rnacentral:rRNA from 1 species
UACGUAGGGUGCGAGCGUUGUCCGGAAUUACUGGGCGUAAAGAGCUCGUAGGUGGUUUGUCGCGUUGUUCGUGAAAACCGGGGCUUAACCCUCGGCGUGCGGGCGAUACGGGCAGACUUGAGUACUGCAGGGGAGACUGGAAUUCCUGGUGUAGCGGUGGAAUGCGCAGAUAUCAGGAGGAACACCGAUGGCGAAAGCGGCUCUCUGGGACGGUACUGACGCUGAGACGCGAAAGCGUGGGGAGCAAACAGG